GCUUCUCCAUCAUCUCUAUAUCAGUAUCUCCGAAGGGCUAAUAUUGUGGGGCUCAUUGCUUCCUGUUGUUCUCGGAGCUGUUAAAUUGCUAAUACUCACGGAUUCAGAUUCUGUACCUGUUGGAAAAUUGUCAUGCCGUUCCUCAGCACUGUGAAGCCUACCAUCCCCUAGAAAUGAUGGAACUGGAGAGGGUUUGACACCUUCGGGCUUCCAAUCUUCUUGAGGUUUUUGAUGCGCUGAGGAAAGUACUCGUUUCAUCUCUUGGAAAAACGACUCCAGUGGAAGGAGGUCCUUUUUUAUUGCGACAUUAGCUGGCUGACUUGCUACUGCAUUAAAUGAAUCUUCACCAUUGUCAGAAAGUACCUUGCACAUCUGCAAAAGAAAAGAAAAGAAAGCACAAAACAUCUACUUCACAACCCUUGCUGUGAAAAUAUGUUUUGUUCCAUAUUUUCUGGUAAUAUGCAAAUUCUCUUAUUCUAUAAGACAGAGUUAGCAGGCUCAUCUCCGUCAACAUGCUUGCUUGAUGAUGGGGAUAUUUAUGUAAUCUGGACAGGGUUUUAUACGUGGUGAUACCUGGAAUAUCUACUGCCAUUUAUUUUGCUGCCUUUCAGCCUAUUGGCUAGCUUUAUUAGGUAAACUUUUUGCAGGUUUCUUUUUGUCCAUUGAUUUGAUCCUUUACUGCAUUAUUUCACGCUCAAUAUUUAGUUUUGUCAACAACAACAACAUACCCAAUAUAUUCCCGAAAAGUGGGGUUUGGGGAGAGUAAGUGUAUGCAGUCCAUAUCAUUGCCCCAGAGGUGAGAUUGAAAGGCUGUUUCCGAUAGACCCCCGGCUCAAGACAAAGGAAGUCCAGAAAAAAUAGUAACGGGAACAAGAAACAAUAGGUAUUUAAACCACAGCGUAUUUGAAGUUAUAAUAGUGUUCCGAUAAAAUAUAUGUGAACACUAUAUCACAGAGAAAAUAAUACACAUUAAGUAUUGUUUGAUUGAAAGUACACAUAAUUUAUUCAUACAAUGUUUUAAAAUUUUCUAGCCCAUGAGAUCAUUAAAUUAAGUGUACAAAUAUUGCCAAUUUUUUAAAUUGGAUUACUCCACACAUUUCAUUUCCAAGUUUGGUUUCAAAAUUUUAAACUAUUUCAGUCUCACAUUAUCAUUUUCUAAACAUUCAAUCUUUGAUAUUGGUAUGAAUUUGGCUUGCUUUCAAUUUCACUUUCUUGCACUGGUUUUAGCUACAUAACCCUAAUGAAGAGGGGCUAACAUAUGUGCUCGAGAUGUUAUUUUUGUGAACAUAAUGCAGAGAUGAUUAAUGAUCUGUUUCUUCAUUGAAGUGGUUAGCCAGCUUUGGAAUCUGUUUACCAGUUUCAGAGGCAUAAGGUGGACGAUACCGGAAGAACAGGAGAGGCACUAACUAGCUGGAAUUUUGAGGGUGGUCGUAGCACUAACAAAGAAAGACAGAUGGAGAAUUGCCCCAGCAGUAAUAUGGUGCACCAUUUGGAAAGCGAGAAACUCUAGGUUUUUAGAGGGCAACAGAAGUUCUCUUCAAAAGUUAAAGAUGAACUGCAUUAUAAGUUUUUGUUAUUGGUGCAACUCAGAGUAUAUAGAUGGACCAGUUUAUAUAGUAGACAUCCUAGGAUCCUACAAUCCUUGUAAGAUGAGAUAGGAUUUAGUGUUAGUCUAUUGUUUUUACUCUUUUGGAUGUAGAUUCAAUGAUGGAAUUUUCGCUUCCAGCUUUUGUGAUGAUGAUUUAUAUACAGUUGUUACCAUUGUCAAAAAAAUGGAGAGUGAUCAAAGUUACUCUUUCAUCGAUUUUAUUCAAUAUAUUUAUAUUGGGAUUGGGCCCGUGCGCUGCACAGACUACUCUUUACUAUUUAUGCAUAUAAGAUGAAGUCCUGAAAUAUGUUCCGGAACAGAAGAUUCACCUUAUUGUAAAGCUGAGCAACACUCAAACGAUCCGCUUCACCAUCACAAGCAACAUCAGAGAUUCCCUGUGGAGCUGCAUUCAGAAGUGCAUGAUGGGAUGCUAGUCAGUAGCUUCUUGACACACUAGCGAAGCUUCAAGCAGUGAAUAACAAUACUUACAAAUUGCAAUAAGUUUUGGGAAAUUAUCAAUCAUUUCAGUGCCAGCUGCCUCGACAUUUCGACUUGGUUCGUCUACAAUCUUGGUGUCACACUCCAUCUCUUUCCCAGGGUAACCCUGAAGGAAGAAAAUGGAUACAAACAAACCACAUUAAUACAGGUUUAACUGUCCUAAAAAUGAUCAAAUCAACCAAUGCAGCUGCAAAUCUUAGCUAUUAAAACCUAAAUCAUAUGGGAACAAAAUGAGAAACAACAAUCAUAAAGCUUGAAAAUGAGCAAGUCAAAUAACAAAGGCCAAAAGCCAUUCACAACAACUAAUAGAACAGCAAUAUAUUUGGGAUAAGUCAUGAUUUAUCUACCAAACAGGCAGAAGGAAUAAAGACUGGUCUUGACAGUGAUAAAACAAAGACCAAGUAACGCAUGAAAUUCUAUUCAUUUAAGCUUGGUCGAGAAAGGGUGUAGAAUGUAAUAUCUAACACACCAAAAGUUUCUUUCCCCAGAAAACAUCAAAUUUUGCAGGCUCUAACAAUCAUAGAGAAAUUUAGCCUUUUAUAUAGUUGGGGCCAUCACAAGGUCACAUACUCAAUGAUUAAGAACUAGCAGGAACAUGAAGUUGUACAAGGCUAGCCUGCUAACAUGGAAUGACUACAGAAUAUACCUAAAGACUACAGGACCCCAACCAAACCAGGUUCAUAGUUCUGUGGCUCUUAAGGAGCAUACACUAGAUCUACAAGUCUUAGUUUUUCUUCUGAGAUAACUUGACACCAGGAGGAAAAACAAAGAAGGAAAGAAGAUGAAGCCAGGUUUGUUAUUACACUCUUUGGAAACAAAUCCAUGACCGAUGGACUUCCAAGUAUAUUCAAAUGAACUUCAGAUGUUUUUGAAAAUUUAAGACGACUUACAACAACUUCUCUCUGGUACUCAGCAUUAAUUGCAUUCUCGAGAAGCAUCACCCUUUUCCUUAUAAAUUCAACUUGUCUUCUCUGCAUCUCUCUCAAAUGAUAUAACAAAGAAGAAUCUUGAUAAAGUUGGGUUCUGUUUGAAGGAUCGCUUGUGCCAUGUGAGUGUUCAUGGUUAGUCUCAUCAGCAGCCUUCACUUGAUUUCCAGUAGUUCCAGCAUUAGCUGUAUUCACACCAUUUGGUGCUUGAUGGACUCCUGGAGCAGAAACUUGUGCUUGUGAAACCCCUGAAGUGGGAAGCGGCUGAGAAGCUCCAGGAGCAGGAGGAACUUGUGGCUGAGUCGCUCCAGGCACGGGUAAACUUAUAGAAGGAAGAUUCAGCUCUUUACAGACAACUUCUUGGAUUCUCAACUCUUUGUCAUCGAUAAUAGCUUGCCAUCUUCCAUAACCAUGCCUGCACAAAAUACAGAACAAAAACACAGCCAGAAAUUAGCACUUAUGCACAGUAAUUGAACUAAACAUGGGCUACUGCCCUGGAAUUCCACAGUCGAAAUGAUCAAUGAUACAUUCAAAAGGAUAGGCACAACGAAAAAUUGCCGCGACACUUUACACAGACAACUUGCAUUUCAGAGGAAGAAGUAGAGGAUGAUGAUCGAAUGACCACAAACAACUCUGGCAUAACUAGAAGAAUAAACAUAGAUCAUCCCUACAUUAGGUUCCAGUUAUACAAGAUACACUUUAGCAAUCUUUUACUGUAAAGCAACUUCGCAUGUGAGCACAAGUAGAUCAAAGAAAUCCUUUUCACUUAGAGAAGCCAGUAUUUGGAUCAUGUCAAAUGAUAUAAUUUUUUAACUGCAGGAGAAGUCCACGUUAUCAUGUAAGGUGGGCUUCCUCUUAAAAUCAUGGGGAAAAAAUGAGGUUUGGGAAUGGUUUCAUAGACACAAUUUGCAUACUGUAAGGUUUUCAAUAUUGAUUAUUGCAUCUUCAGAAUGCUUUGUUGUCCCACACUCUCACAAUGAGGACUGGGAUAGUCAAUCCUCUGAUUCCCUUCUUCUUUGUUCAGGUAAUGACAAUUUUUUUCUCAAUAUAGAAAAAAGAAGCAUUAUAUGGAUGGUUACAGGCCUACAAGAGAAGAGACUGAAGCCAAGAUGGAAACACAACAUAUGUUUCACAAACUCUUUAUGCAGAGAACAGACUUAACCUGUGAAGCAAAAAAUAAACAAAUGCUGCAUUUAAAAGUGAUCCUUAGCCUUUGAGGCCAUUUCCAAGAGCAACAUAUCCACUGGAAAUGCUGACCAGGGAAUUAAUCAACCGGCUAUGGUAAAGAGAUGCAAAGUAGAGAAAUUUCCUCUCACCUACCUGGAGAUUACAUUUGAGAGCUAAACCAAAGAAAGGAAGAAGAGAAUUGUACGGCUCGGUUGUGUUUGAAGGCAAUUCGGAGAAUGUUGCACCACCCAAGAAUUUCUAAUUUUUCAGUAAGAAAGUUUAUUUAACUUGGCUUACUACAUUUUUGGAAGGAAUUAUAGUUAUGUCAUUAUAUUUAAUGAAUCAUUCGUUUAUUGCUUAUGAUUCAUUAAUGAAAAUAAUCUUAGAACUAAACAUAAUUUGCUUAUUUUUUCCUUACAAUUUGAGUUAGUCAAGUACUCAUUCCUAUCAUUAUGAAAUAAAUAGGUUCAUAUUUCUCUGUCUUUUGUUAGAAUUAAUUUAAUUGAACCAACUUUAUUAAGAGGUUAGCAUGUGCAGUUUGAUUCCCUACUGAGAAGACGCUUCAUGGUAUCAACAAAAGAUCUAUUGACAUUAUUUUCUGAUAAAGACCUUCGUAACUUUUUUUCCUUUUCUUUAAUUUGAUAUUUCAGUUUUAAGUAAUUGUGGUGAUAAUUUGCUACUUUUCUUCCAUUUCUUGAGUUAAAUAACAUGUAUUUCUCAUUUUUAGGUUACAUUUAUUGCCAAUUACUGACCAACCCACAAGCAAACAAGCUCUAUUAAAUUUUAGGAAUCAUGUUUUACUUUUCCUCUUCAUUUGAUUCUCUGGGAUUAAUCUUUAUCCAUCAUUCCAUUCCCAUGGAAUAACGAGCCUAAAUAUCUGAUUGUUUUGCAUUUAGGCACGACCGUUCCGUCUAAUUGACAUCAACUUCAUUCUUCUUAUGCUGAAUAUUCAAUCUAACUUCUACUCAUCCUAAAACCUUUUAUUCACUAGAAUGCUUCUCCAUAGUUCAAGUUUUUGGUUGACAUCCUCAUUGAUUUGAUCAAUUAGCACAAUAUCUUCAACAAGUAGCAUAAACCGUAUAUUUCAUCUUGUUAACCCGCAAUCACGGAAAUUCUUUAGUAUUUCUUACUUGUGUACUAAAGUUAGCGACGGUUCCUCCGUAUAUGUCCUCUAUGGAAUUUAUAUAUUUAAUGUUACCUCUUUUCUUUUCCAAUACCAAAGGACCUUUCUCGGUACUCUAUCAGAUGCUUUCUCCGGGUCAAUGAACACCAAUGUAUAGAUCUUUCUUCACCAAUUUUCUUAGCAAGAAUAUAGCCUCUGUUGCAGAUGUACUGUACAUCAAUCCAGUGUGUGCUCUAUCACUCAUUCCCAGAGUUUCAAUGUGUGACUCAUAAGUUAAAGGUCAUGAUAGUUUGGCGCAAUUUUGUGUAUCUCCUUAUGUUUCUAAAACUGGAAUCAGGGUAUUCUUUCUCUACUAGUAAGGCAUCCUACCACAUCUUAGUAUAGCACAAACAACCUCUAGGAAGAUAUUAAAUACUCCAUCUGUUUAAGAAAUAAUUAAGGACAUCUCUACUAGUUUGACUGGAUAUAGAGUUUAAGAAAUAAAGGACUUGUGAAACUUGUGAUAUAAAAUAAGCCAUGGAUAUUGUUUGGCCAUCAAACACAUCAUUAAGAGUAAAAUGAAACAUUUCAAGGGAAAAUGUUUCUAAUAUAGAACAUGGGCAAGUACACAAAGUUACUCCAAAAUGGUUCAUCACUUUCUAACUUCAUGAAAUAGAUCAGAGGAAAAAGAAAGGACUGCAUACUUUAGUACUGCUUGUAGUAGCAGCAAAUCAUGAUCUUCCUUCCAAACACGUCCACCUUUUAAUCCAGGAAACCAAGACACAAUGUCCAUGGAAAAAAGAGGACUAUUUCUCUCUUCCAAGAAAGCCUUGACCUGAAAUAAGCAACACUUCGUGAAAAUUUCAUAAUUAAUCCACAUUUAGAACUGUAGCUCAAUAUGCUCGUGUCAUUGACGAGGAUUUCAGAGAUCACUUGAAAACUUUAGUAACAGCAAAAACUCUACAUGAAAGCCGUGCAUAAACUGCAUAUAUGACUGUUUUGCUAAUACAAGAAACUAUCAACGUAGGACUAAGAAGUAACAUUGUGUUCCAUCAGGCUAUACAAGGAUACAUUGGAAAGUAACAAUUCAUGGAAAAAAAGUGUCUCCCCUUUUUUUCGAUUGUGCGAACUGAAUUCCCAACUCAAGCAAAAAGAACAACUUGUAGUACUCCCCCAGAAAAAAAAAGGACGUAGCACUUCCUAAUUUCCGAUUUAAGUGUCCUACUUUUCUUUUUAAGUCUAUUUAAAAAGGAAUGCUUCUUCUAUAUUUGGUAACUCUAUAAUUCCAACAUUCUACAUGGCUUGUUUAAGACUACAAAUCCAAAGAGCAUUUUGGUACUUAUUUUUUUUUUUCUUUGAGAAAGGUAACCAUAAAGCAUUUAGUACACUAAACACAUCUUUAGUUUAAGACCAAAAAUUGAAAAGUCUCAUUUUCUUAGAUUCUGUGCACAGUCAAACUAAGAUACUUAAAUUGAAAUGGAGGGAAUAACAACUAGGCAGUCAAGUUUGCCAACCAAUCAACAAUGUCUUCCAACAUCUGAAAAGAGUUUCCCAUCUCCCUAUAAUAGCUUGACAUUAAGAUCCAUUCGUGUCUAUUGGCUUACAGUCAAGAAAUUUGCCUUCUUCCCAGAUGACUAUCGCAUAUUUUCUUCAUGAUAUAUAGGAUGCCUCAUUCAGAUUGGGUAACCUCAUUUACAAAAAAAGUACCUUUAAGCCUCCAAAAAGAUUGAUGUAACAUAUCUUGAGAAAAGUAACUGACUAAAAUGGUGCGAGAAAAUAUGCCCAAGCAUUAUCAUUCUGAAGGAUGUAAAUAAAACACUAAAUUGUCUUUGAAUCUCAGGGCAAAGAGAAACAAAGGUAGAAUAUAAAUUAGAACGGUUCUCAUUCAGGAAUAGUCUUCAUUGGAAGUAAUGAAUAACCCUGAGUCCUGACUCAAAACAACCAUUCAUACUAUGUCGUACAUAUCUCAAUGAAUUGAAGAAAACGAAGUACGAGAUCAUACAUUGACUAUACCUAAGAAUAGAAAUCUUGUGAUAACGAAAGAAAGAAUUGUGAGAAAAACUUAUUCUCAUUAGCUUCUACUAUCAUAGAGAAUUAUGGGAAAAACUUAUUCUCAUUAGCUUCUACAAUCUUAUAUAGUAGCUCCAGAGUUGUGCAUAAAAGAUAAUAAAAGAAUGAAAAAGUACAGUUAAGUCCCUAAGCAAUGUCCCAUUUAUUUAACAAAUGCAAACAGACGUGCAAUAUGGCUCCCUAAUAGUGUCGUUCAUGAGGAUAAACCAUCCUUAUUAUAAAACAAGAAUCCACUAACAAGUGAUGAGUUGAUAUGGAUAUCCAACUUAUAGUAGACCUCUGAUAUGGUUUAGUAAACCUAACAAUCAAAUUAGUUAGCCUUUUAAUUUGAGAUUUUCCGAUUUGUAUUUUUCUGAAAAAUGGAAUAAAAAAUUCAUAUCUAGGGUCAAGCCCUUAAUACAUUUAAACAGAUGCACACAGCAAAAAGAAGCAAUUUAGAAGAAGACUUUAUCUUAAUAUGACAGAAAUCAAUGUCAGUUGAUGUUCCUUUACAUUGUUCAUCAUCUCAUUUACCAAUUUGGAAGUAUCUAUAAAGAGCUACAGUAGAUGCUAUAUAUUUACUUCAAUCCACUUCUGUUUGAACGAAAACAAGGUGAAAAAAACUUGGCCAAAUAACCCUUUUUUCAGAACAGAGAAUUUUUUUCUUCUAGAAAAACUCCAAAAACUUGAUAACUUGAAAAAAAAAUUCUGGCCCCAUCCCAAAUGCCAGUCAGUCAUAUCUCGCUUAAUGAAGUUGUGUCAACCUUAUCAAGUGAUUUUGGUUGGUCAGAAGAGUAGCUUCAGUUCAAACCAAGUAGACAUGUUUUGUAUAAGGUGUUUUAUGUUAGUUCAUGUGAAAAAUAAAAAAGAAAUCUGCCAUUCUACGUCACAGGGAUGGCUAAGAAUCUGAUUUUGAAGUUCUUUUAUAGUAUGUUAAUCUGAGUUAGUGUUCUUUUUGAGGUCCUUCAAGUUUUUAGUUCGAUCUACGUAUUAUUUACUAGUAUACGGGUUGUACCGCACAUCAUUGUUGCAAAAGAUUUGCCUUACCUGUUAAAAAACUUCUCUCAAAUGCAUGCCAUGUCUUACAAAUAAACCCGUAUAUCCACAUUAGGCUAUAUAAUCAUAUCACAGAUCAAAGAAGCACCAGGAUAGUAGGGACAAUUCACAAAGUCAACAACAACGACAACUACACACCCAGUAAAAUCUCACAAGUGAGGCCUGGGGAGGGUAAAGGGGACGCAGACCUUACCAGUACCUCGGGGAGGUAGAGAGGCUGUUUCCGGACGACCCUCGGAUCAAGUGUAGCAAAUCCAAGUACAAAGAAGAGAUAAACAGUGAAGAAAAUAUGAUAACUAACAAGGGAACAGUAUGCAGACACAAAAUAGUGUGAUAAUCAAAACACAAUAAACAACAAAUGAUAGAUAUCUACGGCUAAACCCUAAGCUACCAUACUACGAUGCACGACAAUACUCCUACCCGACUAACCACCAUCCAUAUCCCCGUAGCUAAGGUCAUGUCCUUGGUAACCUGAAUAUGCGUCAUGUUUUGUCUAAUCACCUCACCCCAAUGAUUCUUCGCCUACCUCUACCCCUCUUCAUACCUACUAUAUCCAACCUCUCGCACCUCCUCACUGAGGCGUCUAAACCUCACCUCAUCACAUGUCCAAACCAUCUCAAUCUCGCUUCCCUCAUCUCGUCCACCACGGAGGCCACUCCCACCUUAUCUCGAAUAACCUCAUUCCUGGUUCUAUUACACCUAGUAUGUCCACACACCCAUCACAACAUCCUCAUCUCUGCGACAUGAGCAAGUUAGCAUUUCAGAAAUUUACAAGAAACAAUGGUAAAAUUCAUCUCACCAUCAUCAACAAUGUCAAGAAAAAAUAGUAAAAGUCAUAUUAAGACAUAGCUCAAAAAGUGUGAAAUUUAUUUCAACACAAAAUCAAAUACAUAUAGAGUGACUAAGAAGCUCAACAAGACACCCAGUGUAAUCCCACGGGUGGAGUCUCCGGAAUGUAGAGUGUAUGUAGACCUUAACCUCAUGGAGGUAGUGAGGUUGUUUUCAAAGACCUUCUGCUCAAUUAUUGACUAAGAAGCUCAAGAAAUUAUAAAAUAAAAGGACAGUCCACAAAGCCCCACGGCAAUAAAAGUUGCUCACAACUAAAAUAGCAUUAAAUAGCCACCAACCUCGGAUUCCGGCAAGUUAUCGAAGUUAAAAUCUUACCUUGUCUCUUAUAAGAAGCAAUACUGCAAUCCUCACUAGCACAUCUGGUAUUCUUAAUCCUUCUUUUGGAACCCCAUCUGCAAUCCAGGAUUUUAAAUGUUUUGACCCAAUUGACGCGCAAAGAGAAGGAAGGGAGAGAAACUAAAGCAGUAAAGCGAACAAAUAAGAGUUCCAUAAAGAAAGACAUAAAGAAUUGAUGUAAGUCCUUCACCUGUAAAUGAUGGUGAUUCAGUAAUAUCUUCAGCAAUAUGCGACAAAAACAGAGUUCCAUAGCUGUAUGACAGAUGACAAUGUAAAUAAAUUAUUUUUCCUUGCAGAAAAAUGAAGGUUGGAGUUUUUUUUUUUCUGACUGGUAACUUGUGUGUAUUUCUAAAUGAACAAAACAGUACAUAGGUUGUACUCUCUGAAACCAUAUUUACAAUGUGACUAAGAAACUGAAGUUGUUCAGACCAUCUCAACGUAAUCUAGCACAUCGAGAAUUUCUACAGUUUCUCCUAAGUAGGACUGUCUACACCAAAAAGUAAAAGAGCAAAAAUACAGUUCAGGUUGAUAUAUUGCACAGAAUUGUUCAAAUUCUCAAAACAUCUGGAAUUUCUUCCUUUCCAGAUUGUAUACCAAAUGUUAGCUAGGACAGUUCUCCAUCUUUCUAUAUCCUUUGCCCCAAUUCAUCCCAACUCACUAAGGUUUCAGAAAUGUUAUCUGGCAUUAUCCAAGUGAUGCCUCUAACAUUAAUGAGAUUAAUAAAAAUCCUCCACAAUUGUCUGUUAGCUUGCAAUGGAGAGAGAUGGAUUACUGUCUCUGCUCUCACCACAUAAAUAACAUAUGGAACAAGAGAGAUCCCCUUUUUCAUCAAGUUUCCUGGAUAAAAGCCAGACAAAGCAAUCUACUUGAAUUAUUUUGUUAGUUUAAACACAAUGUUUUGAUUGUUACUUAAAUUUUGUUGUAUCGUAUCGUUAAAUUCAUCAUUAUGUAACAGUGAAAAGUCUCAUUUUCUGUUAACCGAUUUGGUGUGGUCACGGCACUACCUUUUUUCUUCUCACUUUGUUUUUUCUUACAACAGCAACAACAUACCCAGUGUAACCCCACAAGUGGAGUGUGGAGAGGGUAGAGCGCACGCAGACCUUAUCUCUACCUCGUAGAGACCAAGAGGUUGUUUCAAAUAGACCUUCAGCUCAUUUUGUCUUUCUUAUUAUCUAAUAAUCCUAUUUUAUCCUUUGUCUUACCUUUUUAUAAUAGCUUUACCCUGUAUCCUACUUAUUUUGUAAGUUUAUUCUUCAAAUUGUCGGUUUGUGACACUAUGUAACGAUGGAAAACGAUACAAUCUAUCCACACUGUAGUCAUCAAAACAAUACAAUACAACACAACACAAUACAAUAUAAUAUGACAUUAUGAACCAAUAUAUCACAACUAUCCGAACAAGUUGUUACCGCUCACAACACCACGUUAUUCAGUAGGCAGGGACAAUGCAAGAGAGAGACGAGGAAGAUCAAUGAAGAACCACUUUAAACAACACCAAGAGAUCUCCUCUUUCAUUUUAUAAAAAAACUACAAUCAGGGUUACAAGGCAUGUGAUGCAUCCGAUCAUAAUAUGCCACCAAAACUUAAAGGCACAUCCAAUAGAGUGGUGGCUAGAUCGACUACGUUGUAUUGGGCAGAGUGUAGGCCAGUUAACAACUCUCACAUUCAGAAGAUGAGAGUUGUGGAAAUGAGGAUGAUGUGGUGGAUGUAUGGCUAAGAAAGAGAAGAUUAGGAAUGAAGAUAUCUUGGGAAAAAUGAGGUCGUCGUCGUGGACAAGAUGAGGAAAGCGAGACUGCGAUGAUUUGGACAUGUGAAAAGGGGAUGCAUGGAUACCCCAAUAAGGAAGUGUGAGGUUGGCAGUGGCAGGUUUUAGGAGGUAAAGGUCCGCCAAAAAAGUAUUGCGGUGAGGUGAUCAGAGACGACAUGGCUCACCUUCAGCUUACCAAGGACGUGACCAUAGUAGGUAAUGGAGGUCGAAGAUUAGGCAAAAAGGUUAGUUGGUAGUCGAGUGUUGUUUCCUUGCAUUCCAGUAGCAUUAGUUUUGAUCUCGUAGUUUCUUACCCUUCGAUUUCUGUUAAUACUACUUGCUCUUUGCUUCAGUUAUCACAUUAUUUUGUUGUUGUAACUGUUCUUUUUUAUCACUGUUCCAUAAUGAUUUCGUUAUUAUUUGCAAUGUCUGCUUAGCGUUUGUAUGUUAUUUUAAAAAAUUGCUUUGUUAUGAGUUACUUGAGCAGAGGGUCUUUUUGAAACAGUCUCUCUACCUCCAUGAGAUAGAGGUAAGGUCUGCAUACACCCUAGCCUCCCCAGACCCCACCUGGUGGGAUUACGGUGGGAUUACACUACACUGGGUAUGUUGUUGUUGUGCUAUAAGGCAUGUGAUGCAUUCUUCACUAAAGAAUCCCUUUACCAGAGAUAUAGCUUCAAUAUAGCUAACACAUUAAUGACGGUCUAUCUCUUUUAUCAGGAGUAGUCCAUGAUAGAGAGUUGAGGAAUAUACAGAACUCAAAGUUGAUAUCUUUACGUACUCUCUUAUUUCUUCAUAAGUUUUCUGCUUCAGUCGUGGUGUGAAUUCUGCCCAGUCAUAGUCUCCAACUCCAAACCUGUAAAGAAAUCAAGAGAGAUUGUUUCAAUACUCUCAAGCUUUAGUGCACAACGGAGAAAUAAAACAGAAAAAAAAAACAGAGAGAAAUAACAACGCCUAGAAAGGAAGAUAGCCACAUGAGACCUCAUUAAAAUUUUGACAAAUGCUGCCCUCUGGCUUUGAUUAAAUCCCAGCACUCUAAAUGAUUUUCCUUCUCCUUCCAUCAAAGGAAGUGGUACAGAAGAGUCUCCUGCCAGAGUAAAGAACUUUUCCUUAGACACUAUCAAGUAUCCUAAUUGAUAUAUUUUUAACAAGUCUAAUUGAAAUGUGAAAUGAGAUCAAGAGUUCAUAUUUCACCACGGGCUCUCUUUCUGUAAGGCCUUCUCACAACUGGCGCUCCAGGUAAAGCUGUCUCGCCAUCACUAUCAGCUUCAUAGUUAUCAUCCUCGCCAUCAGAGGUCACCUCUUCCAGACCAGCAAGAUCAUCGUCUUCAACAGACACCAUCUGAGAGGAGAAUGAAGAUAGUCAUGACAACAGGAAGAUAACUACUUGUGAGAGUUGACCACAUAAAGUAAAUACUAAGCAUAUACUCCCUCCAUCCCAAUCCCAAUUUAUGUUUCACCUUUCAGAUUUUCAAAAGUUAAACAAGUUUUUCUUUUAUCGCCAUUUGUUCAUAUGCCUUUUAAAUAUGUUGAAUUGCUAAUGAUUGUGACUUAUAUUACUUCUGAUAUAGUUUCCAAAUAUGUAAAUUUUAUUUUUGAAAAAAAAACAUAAAAAGAUUCAAUAUCCGAAUUCACGGACAAAAUUAAGGAAUUUGACUCUUGAAAUCCAAAUUGUGUCGCAUAAAUUGGGGCAGUGGGAGUAAGUACAGAUGGCAAAUUGAGAUAAAGACUAGAUUAACAUGUACAAAAACUCUCGAGCUGAAUGCCCUGCCAAUUCAUUCAACAGAAGAAAAAUUGAAUAAAUUAAAUAUAGGCCCACGUAAAUGGCAUGCCACACCUGUUGUAACAAUUCUUCCCAGUAGGUUGCUCUCUCGGAAUUGAGUACUGUUGCUUUGUUCUCCAACGGAGGAGUUGAGAUAUCUUCUUCUGGUGUUGCUUCUGCUUCUUCAAUAUACUCGAAAUUAGCUACCUGAAACAAUCAGAAGCGUUCAGCUUGUCCUAGAUCAGAAAACCAAACACAAAGCUCAAAUGCACCCAAAGCAAAGCUAAAAUGUGAAAAAACUCUAGGAGGACGAUACUUUCACAACUAAACCAAUAUAUUAUCAUACAAGUUUUCUUCACAUAUGCCCUUUUCUUCAUUGGGAAAAAAAAAACUUGCAAACAACUACUAGAUAAGGCCUGCAGAAUAAAUGCAUGUUUCACCUAAAAGGCUAUGCAGAAUAUGAUUUCCUUAUUUUUGCUGGAAAGCCUUAAGAAGACAAGUCAACGCAUUAUUUGCUUAGGAGGUAAUUAAUCAAUCAGACAGAGUAAUGGCAAGAAUCAAGCAUAUCAAGAUAACCGGCAAUACCUUUACACCUGAGACCAUUACCAGUAUGAAGCUCUGGAUUCUAAGUACAGAAAUAUCAAGCUCACAUUGUCCUGGUGUUAUCGUUAAGUCAUUUUUUUAUGGUCAGUCAUAUGUUUAUUACAGGAGAAAUAAAAGUAAACAAAAUAGUAGUCAAGGUGCAAACAAGUUACAGUUACGUGGUAACAUGGUUGCUGACAAAAUUCCACCUCAUCCCCUCCUAUUGUAUUCAUAAAGCUCCUCUGUUAUUAGCAUUAGCUAUCUUGCCGCGAAUUCUUGUAUACCAUCUCUUCCUCCAACCCUCAUCAUUAAAUUAGCCUUUUACAAUUUCCUUUUUUAUGAAGUGAAAGAAAUUUCAUGAAAGUAAUAUUUUGAAAAUUAGUCGUAUUAUAAAAUUAGCAUCUCGCUGCAAAUUCUUGUAUACCAUCUCUUCCUACAACCCUCAUCACUAAAUUAGGCUUUUACAAUUACCUUUUUUAUGAAAAGAAAUUCCAUGAAAGUACUAUUUUGAAAAUUAGUCCUAUUAAUAUAAGAACCCAUUGAUUUAUUAACAAGGUGACAUGUUUAUAACAAGUUGUAGUACAUAAAAGGAUAUGAUAUUUCUUGUACGCAGUUUUAAAUUGAAUAAAGACCCCACAAAUGCAAGUACAAGAAUUAAGUACAUUAACUUAAGACAUGAGGAGCAAUCACAUGACAGUGGAAGCGUCUUCCACAUCAAACAGUACCUCUCAAGUUUUAUGGGAAUUUUAUUUAACCUUUAAUUAGUAUACCACUUCAGAGGAAUCAAAUAUAUGUAUUCUGCUCCUCCAUUUUUAUGCCAUGUGCAAAUUUAGCUUAAUAUUUUAACAGAUUCCAGUUAAGCACUGAGAAAGUGUAAGCCCAUGCAUAUUUCAAAACCUCAUUAUGGUUAAUCUUGAGCUUAUUGAUGUCUUUAAGUGAUCCUAAAUGUGUCGACAGGGGUAGAAGUAGGUGAGGUGCUUAAGACAUGAAUCUAGAAGUUUGACAUGAAUUGGAAGCACGGCGAAUUGGUGUUGGACUUAAAAGUGUUGAAAUGUUGUUAAGAAACGCAUAACUAAUUGUCCGGGGUGCCCAGCAGUACUCCCACAUUGCGAGGAGACCAGCACCACUCCCCAGGGGUUCUGCGAGAAAGCCCUGCGCCCCGAGAAGUCCAAAUUUGCCUGACUGAUGACAUACAUGAUGGGCUUGCACUGCGUGGGCGCCGUGCGGCCUCCGGCACUAUAAAUAGCUCUCUCUGCCCCUACCGAAGGUAUGGGGGAACAAAGUAUGUCCUAAGGAAUGGAAGUUUAUAGCGAUUAUCCCCAACUCCUUACUAGAUAGAUGUUGGGUGAACUGGAAAGAUAGGUAACACAAUCCAUUGGCACUGCAAAAUCACCUUCCAAUUAUAAACAAAUUACACAAGAGAUAUAAACCUUGAAGGCCUUCAAAAAUGAAUCCUCUUCUUCAUCGUCCACGACAGCAUCCUCAUCUACAACUUGGUCGCGAUUGAGCAAUCUGAUAAAGAAAAUAACAAAACGAUCAUUACAUUCAUUUGACAUAAACUGAUACCAACCCUUAAGAAAACUAAAGAAAGGGAGAAGAAAGUGAACCUGACAUAUAGAAAACUCACCUAUCUAUUGCAGCAUCAUCGUAAUGAAUUUGUCGCAAUUUUCCGGCCUCAUCAUUCUCAUCAGCAAAUAGCUCUUUCGACCCAUACCUUAUAAUAUCAUCCAGUUCUUCCUGAAUUAAGACCGUAAUUAGCCACCUUUUUACAGUACAACAGCCAAUAAUGAUGACCGUCCACAGAAUGCUUUCAGAGCUGAUCAAUUGUAUGACCAAAAUCUUUUCUUUUUCCUUUUUAUUUUGUUGGGGUACACUUGUCGCUUCAAUCAUUAUGACUAGGUGUAGGGUCAUGCCUCGGAAUAUUAAAGAAGCAUAUGAGGGUUGGACUUUGUGGAAAGUUGAUAAAAACAUCAAGAAAUUUGGAAAACGAUCCUGCAAGUACUUUUUGGUGCGUAUGGACAAAAAGAAUUCACAGAUGUUCUGAUGAAAUCUCAACCCCAAACCACUCCUUGAAGAUUAGAUGUCUACUGAAUCUAUUUGGUUGGAUUAACCUACUCCCUGUAAAUACUGUUGAUCUUUAUUUGGACUUUGUUAGCUCAAACUUCAGCUUAGUCUCAAGAAUUAUUGUUAAUCCCCCCUACUUUUUGACUUUAUUAGCUCCCUUAGCAUAGAUCAUGUACUGGAGCCAGCAUACUCUCUUGUGCUUAUUGCAUCUUCUUGAUGUCAGUAAUGAAACAUCUUACUUUAUCAAAAAUAUAACUGUGACUAAAUGUUGAGAUCAGCCAUAGGAUCCGGAAGCACAUCAACUGAGGGAAGUUAUACUUUUUUAUACAGUUCUAAUGACUAAAGUUCACUCGACUACUAUGGGAAGUCGAAGACUUACUACAUCUAUGAUGAAGUGGGUCCAGAAGCAGAAGUAAAAAAAAUAGAACCCAAGUUACCUAUUUGUAAUUACAGUAUUUGAAAGAAAAUUGCAAGUGACGGAACAAAAGCAUUUUUUCUAGGACGCCAGACACUGUUUUGGGACAACCCAGAUUUACGUGGGGCAGAGGGGAUAAAUAAAUAAUUAAAAGAGAUUGUAGAUUAACAGUAGACAAAAUUGUGACUAGGUGAUUUUUCCACAUCUCCCUUCUAAGUCUUGGUGUAGAGUUAGCCAGUACCUGCGUUGGUGGGAGGUAGAAGGUAUAGGUUACUCGGUUUUAUAGUCGAGGUGGGGGCACCACCGUAAUUAAAAAAACCGUGUAUACAAAAUUGUAGUGCGUCUUCAACGACUUGUAUACACUAACGCAACAAUAAUUUAAUUGUCUAAUCUAUAACAGUUCAUUAUCUAUUGGAUGCCAGCAUAAUCAGUCAGAACAAUGGUGUUGCCUUGUGCCUACCAACUGAUGCAAGACAGCACCGUAUAGUACAAAAAGAUCUUAAAGAAUCGCAGUAGUUAAGUUCGAAAGGUGCCGAUUAUUAAAGACUAAUAUAAGUCAACAGAAGUGUUCUCUAUUAAGCAACUUACACUUGUAUUCCAGACAACUCACACAAUACAACAUGUUUUAAGAGCAUACACAAGCCCUAAGUUUGAGUCGCACCACUACUUAAAAUAAAAAGUAUAUCUUCUAAUUUUAGACAAGGAAAUAACCGGAAUUCAACAUAGUAUGAGAGCAAGAACCCAUCUCAAAACAUUUUUGUAUGCAUCUACACAUUUAAAAAAGUAAACUCAAAAGUUAUGGGUAUCUAACAAUUGACUUAAGGAAAAUGACCUUAGAAUUAGGAUAUCUCUAGCCAUUAGCUUUUUUUACCUGUUUAAAAUCUAGUAGCUCACUUCCCCUUAACUUAGCAUCAUGCUUUAGGACUGUAGAGGUCUGAUUCCGGCACCGAUCACCGUCAUUAUACCUUUUUUUUCUCAACCAAUCAAUAGUCACCCACUGUGACUAUUGAUUCAGCCCCUUUCUUCUAGUUACUUAUCGACACAAUUCAAUGGCAGAAAACAGAAUCUAUUUCAAUGCAGGCUUCAAAUCUUUUGACAUUACAAGAUGGAACUAUGGCAACUCAACAUGGUUUGAUUGGGUAGAAAGAAGUAGAAACAGAAUGCAUAGGAUAACUCUGAGCAGAAAGACUCAGGAAUGGAUCUGCUACAUACUCAAAGAAGCUUCGAAGGACAAAAGAACAAGUGGCUGAAUAUUAUGGCACCAGAAAAUAUAAUACACACGACAGGUACAUGAGCUUUCUGUCUUUGAAUGGGGAGGAUAGAGAAGUUAUUAUUGUCCCCGAACUAGCCAUAAAUGCAGGGUGGAAGGACAUAGCAUUAAAGAUUGAAAGAUUCAUAAAUGCUAAUCACCAAAGUACCAGUAAACAGCCUUCAAAAUAGACUAUUCCAUAGGCCAGGAUGGUUCAGAGCAGUAAAUGGCAACAAGGUCGUAAUGAAGGCUGACAAUUCGAGAUAUUUUGGAUAUUUUGGAGGUGUGGAGAUACCCACCCUAGCAGAUGUAAGAAGAUGGGCAUCUUUGACUUGGAAGGAAGCUUUUGGAGUCAACAUUUAUGAAAUGGCAGGGCACAAUUUUCUCUUUGAGUUACCAAAUAAGCACAUAGCUGAACAAAUACUACAAGGAGAUUGGGUCUGGAGAAAGUCAAAAAUUCAUCUAGAAUGAUGGAACCCGCUCUUUGGUUGUGUAUCAUACAAGCAAAAUCAAGAAACAACAUGGACUAGAGCCACCGGACUGCCAAUGCAUUUGUGGUCCAAAGAAAUCUUUCAAGAAAUAGGAGAUAAAUUUGGAGGGAGGUGUAGAACAGAGGAAGAAACUAAGCUGAGGAACCAUCUUAAAUGGGCGCGUAUCGAGGUCAAGGGAGAUGGCCGAAAAAUUCCCAAUGAGAUCUCCAUUACUAAAGAGGGUUACAUCUUCAAAAUCCCGAUUUGGAUAGAAAAAGCUACAACUUUUGAGAGGUUGCCGGUAGCAGCAGCAAAACCUAUGGCGGAAGAAUUGGUGACAGGAGAAACCCUAAAGGGUUUUAUCCAGAGGUCCUUGCUUCGCGGAGAAAAGACGAAGGACAAUGACCUUGCUUCGCGGAGAAAAGACGAAGGACAAUGACCUGCAGAUAAAACCUUCUUUCGAAGUUAUCACAAAAAUAGCAUCCUUGACAGCUGUUGACUGGAGUACACAUGUGGGCUGUAAUUUUAAGUUACACCCAUGUGAGGAACAUGUGACAAUUUUAAGUCAAGAAAAGGAGACCCCAAAUAUAUCCAAAAGCGGGCCGGCCCAACAAAAGCAAGUGCUACAACAAAAGAAAAGUCCCCAAGCCCAACCCAACACAGGUGUAUUCAUUGAUGAACUGUGGGAAGAAAUUAAGAGGCUAAGAAAAGCAGUCCCACAAGUCGAUAGAGCAGAAAACACAGAAGAGCUUCAGAUUUCCAUUAAAAACCCAGGUGCAGGUGUCAAGACAGAAAACAAAACAGGUUUUUAGGAAGGAUCAAUUGAGACAGUGGGGGAAAUAAUAGGGAGAAAGGAAAAGGCACCUGAAAAUUACAUGGAGCAACAAACCAUGUUGGGUAAUUCAUGCACGGGAGGAGAGUUAUGGAACGUGGAAGAAGCAACACCAAUAGCGACAGCAGCAUCAACAGAUAUCAUCGAAAUGGGGAGAUCCACAUCAGCAUGGGUUCGGCAGAACAUAAUCAAGCUAGGGAAAAUGUUUAAAGCUGAUUUCAAAGGUCAUGAAGAGGAAGCCCUUGAGUUACUUAUGCAAGUAGAUGCCUGCAGACAAGCUAGGAGGUUGGAGACAUCCUCAGAGAUCAGGAAAAACAGGUUUAAGGGUGCCAAUGAGCUGAAGAAUUUAAUCACUUUUGAUGUUAAAUUCAAAAGUAAAGAAGGCAGAAACAAGGGGAAAGGGUGUUCACAAUCUGACCCAUGAAGCUAAACCUGGUGUCAUGGAAUGUUAGGGGAUUAAAUGAUGGGAAAAAAAAGAAUGGUGAAGAGCUGUAUUGAGCAAUGGAGGCUGAUAUAGUGUGUUUUCAAGAAACAAAGUUACAAGGGAACUUGCAAGAGAUAGUGAAACAAUUAUGGGGAAGGAGAUGGGUUAAUUUCGCGCGUUUAGAAGCUAGUGGUAUUAGGGGUGGUAUC
rnacentral:lncRNA from 1 species